ACACCUUUAAAGACCAUUUGUUGCGGUGACACCUUUAUAUGAUGUAAAUUAUCAUGAAACUUCACGGACUUAUCAGUUAAAAAUCUUUGGAACGUCGAGAAAUUGAGCCCAUGUCAACAUCUAAUCUAAGACCCAUAAAGUGCCAGCAGUUGCGGUCACACUUUGUUAGAUAUAAAGCUAUAUAGAACUACUAAACACUUUUAUAAUAUCAUUAGUGAAAUAUUGUUAUUAUUAACUUUUUCUAAUUUAUUUAUUAACGACUGAAAUCAAACAGGGAUUAGAUACCCCUCUAUGCAGUAUGUAUUUAACUUCUGGGGAUUAAAAUUAUAUAUUCAAACUCAAACAACAUGGCGGUAGUGUAUAAUUUUAGGGGAACUUACUAAGUAAAUGACAACCACCAAGAAAAUAUACAUUAAGUUAAAUUUUGUAUACCGUCGUCGAGAUAUUCUAUCAUAGAAUAUCGGGCUGAAUUAUUAGAUAAGACAGAUCAAGGUGCAGACCAUCUUAAUGUUUCAGCGAGUUACAAUAAUAAUUAUUCUUCAUUAAACACUUUUAUUUGUGUUACAUGUAGGACUUAAAAGUAAUAAUUAUUAAAUAUAAAAUAUGAAUACUAAUAUACACUGUGC
rnacentral:rRNA from 1 species